GGUUAAGUGACUAAGCGUACACGGUGGAUGCCUUGGCAGUCAGAGGCGAUGAAAGACGUAGUAACUUGCGAUAAGCCCAGAUUAGGUAGUAACAACCAUUUGAGUCUGGGAUUUCUGAAUGGGGAAACCCACUUACAUAAGUAAGUAUCAUUAACUGAAUACAUAGGUUAAUGAGGCGAACCGGGGGAACUGAAACAUCUAAGUACCCCGAGGAAAAGAAAUCAACCGAGAUUCCGAAAGUAGCGGCGAGCGAAAUUGGACUAGCCCUUAAGCUUUACACGCGUUAGACGAACGGUCUGGAAAGUCCGACGAUACAGGGUGAUAGUCCCGUAGUUGACGACGUGUGUUCAGUGAAAUCGAGUAGGGCGGGACACGUGAUAUCCUGUCUGAAUAUGGGGGGACCAUCCUCCAAGGCUAAAUACUACUGACUGACCGAUAGUGAACCAGUACCGUGAGGGAAAGGCGAAAAGAACCCCUGUGAGGGGAGUGAAAUAGAACCUGAAACCGUGUACGUACAAGCAGUAGGAGCAGGCUUUGUCCUGUGACUGCGUACCUUUUGUAUAAUGGGUCAGCGACUUAUAUUCAGUGGCAAGGUUAACCAUCUAGGGGAGCCGUAGGGAAACCGAGUCUUAACUGGGCGUUCAGUCUCUG
rnacentral:rRNA from 1 species